UACGAAGGGGGCUAGCGUUGCUCGGAAUCACUGGGCGUAACGGGUGCGUAGGCGGUUCUUUAAGUCAGGGUUGAAAUCCUGGAGCUCAACUCCAGAACUGCCUUUGAUACUGAAGAUCUUGAGUUCGGGAGAGGUGAGUGGAACUGCGAGUGUAGAGGUGAAAUUCGUAGAUAUUCGCAAGAACACCAGUGGCGAAGGCGGCUCACUGGCCCGAUACUGACGCUGAGGCACGAAAGCGUGGGGAGCAAACAGG
rnacentral:rRNA from 1 species